rnacentral:rRNA from 1 species
CCCCCUACGGGGCGCAGCAGUAGGGAAUCUUCCACAAUGGACGAAAGUCUGAUGGAGCAACGCCGCGUGAGUGAAGAAGGGUUUCGGCUCGUAAAGCUCUGUUGGUAGUGAAGAAAGAUAGAGGUAGUAACUGGCCUUUAUUUGGCGGUAAUUACUUAGAAAGUCACGGCUAACUACGUGCCAGCAGCCGCGGUAAUACGUAGGUGGCAAGCGUUGUCCGGAUUUAUUGGGCGUAAAGCGAGUGCAGGCGGUUCCAUAAAUCUGUUGUGAAAACCUUCGGCUCCACCGGAGAAUUG